AACCUCUGGUUGGAAGUGUUUAGCCCGCCAUGGUUUCAUGUGUGAGUGCUGAUGCACUUCUGCCAUCCUUCGAGAUACCACUCACCUCUUCAUUGAGGAUGGGAUGGAGCUCGAUCUUUUACUUUGAAAAAAUUAGAGUGUUUCAAGCAGGCGUGUGCUAUGAAUACAUUAGCAUGGAAUAAUAAUUUAGGACUUCGGUUCUAUUUUGUUGGUUUCUAGAGCUGAAGUAAUGAUUGAUAGGGAUAGUUGGGGGUGCUAGUAUUCAGUGGCCAGAGGUGAAAUUCUCGGAUUCCCUGAAGACUAACUUAUGCGAAAGCAUU
rnacentral:rRNA from 1 species